UACCAAGAGAAAGAUGACAAGCAAGCUAAUGCCGCUGCCUUGGAGUUUUGAGAUCCUUAAAGGAUUUACGUGGUACAGACCUCUUAAAUGUCAGUAUCCUUCUAUCAUGAUAUUCAGAUUUCAUCUCAUCUAAUUAUUCUACAAGCAUCCUUAUCCUAUUGAUUUUCUUUUCCCAUGGCAUAUUAUUUCACAAAUGUCAGUACAGGGACAUGAUAUUCCGGGACAUGAUAUUCCAGGACAUGAAGGCUUCCAACUAUAAUAUUUCAGUUUUCAGGAAUAAGGAAGUGGAACUUGAUAUGCACCAAUUCAUUAAGGAAUUGCAUGAAAUGAAUAAGGAAUCAGCAACAAAGUUGCAGGUCCCUGUUGUGGAGCAAGAUGGACUCCCAUGCAAUCUGAUUAUUUUUCCUCAAUUUUUAGUAAAGCCUUCACAUAUCCUUCUUGGGCACAUUUUGGUAUUAGCUUCACUAUGGACUUAAGUCUUCAGACAGGUAAUCAACAAUAUGAUGGGAAUUAUUUGCAGGGAUGUGGAAUGACUUGAAUGUUGAGGUGGAAUAACUAUUAAAAUCCUGAUAUGUAGAGAGGCGCAUUCUCUCUGGUAAAAAAGAAAGAGGGGCACAUUGUGGGAAGCAAUGAAAUAAAGUUCCAAAACUUUUACUCCAAGUGAUUAGCUUUCUUAGACAUAAUUAGAAAUUUAGAACUACUUACCUCUCAAUUUAGGUUAUUAUUGCUUUAAUAUUUUUUUGGUAGGUUUCAAAAGUAAGGAGGGAAUUGGGUAGCUAGCUUUCUCAAACUUUAAUA